GGGUGUCUUGGGCGCUAAGGCGGCAGGCGAGGAUUACUCGUCGUAGGAGUUCGGUCAGAGGCUUUCUGCAAAUGCAAUCCGAUUUCUCACAGACAUCGACAGAGGGCCAACCGACGGUGGAUGUCGGAUGAUGCUGCGGAGGUUCGUCCGCAAUGGAAGCUCGGAUGAAGGCCUUCGGUGGGAAUCCGGCACGAACCGUUCAUGGUAGAAACUUGAAGUAGAUCGUCGCUUGCGGUAGGAGCUCGGAGUUCGGCUCUCAUAGGA
rnacentral:lncRNA from 1 species